UCUACCGAGCCCCGGAACCCGUACAGAAAAUACAGGGCACGCUCCACCCCGCACCCCCAGUCGCCGCGGCCGCCGUCCUACUUAUCCCUGUUCCCGGGCCGCUGGAGCCCGGGCAGCCAGGCUCUGAACAGUGCCGGUGAGAGCCCCGCCCCGCCCCCCGACCGGGGUGACGCGCCGCCCGCGAGGCCGAGCGCCCGGGGAGGGCGUGAUGACGUCACUACGCCCCGGUCAGGGACUGGGCGCGGCUCGCGAGCGGGGUUGUCUCUAUAGCAAUGAGGAGUCGCCACCUGUCCUGCCGAGGGAUUCGGUCCACCUGAGGCGGGAGGCGGGAGGAGCCCGAGGCCCCGAGUCUCGUCGGCCGCCUGCGGGUGAGAAGGGCUUCCCUGGUGGUGCAGUGGUUAAGAAUCCGCCUGCCAAUGCAGGGGACAUGGGUUCAAGCCCUGGUCUGGGAAGAUCCCACAUGCUGCGGAGCAACUAAACCCCUGCGCCACAACUACUGAGCCUGCGCUCUAGAGCCCGUGAGCCACAACAACUGAGCCCAUGUGCCACAACUACUGAAGCCUGCGCGCCUAGAGCCCGUGCUCCACGAGAGAAGCCACCGCAAUGAGAAGCCCGCGCACCGCACGAAGAGUAGCCCCCGCUCUCCGCAACUAGAGAAAGACUGUGCACAGCAAUGAAGACCCAAUGCAGCCAAAAAUAAAUAAAUAAAAUAAAUGAAUUUUUAAAAAAACUUUAAAAA